rnacentral:rRNA from 1 species
UACGGAGGGUGCAAGCGUUAUCCGGAUUCACUGGGUUUAAAGGGUGCGUAGGCGGGCAGGUAAGUCCGUGGUGAAAUCUCUGAGCUUAACUCAGAAACUGCCAUGGAUACUAUUUGUCUUGAAUAUUGUGGAGGUAAGCGGAAUAUGUCAUGUAGCGGUGAAAUGCUUAGAUAUGACAUAGAACACCAAUUGCGAAGGCAGCUCACUAAGCGAAUAUUGACACUGAGGCACGAAGGCGUGGGGAUCAAACAGG